rnacentral:rRNA from 1 species
GUAGCGGUGAAAUUGCGUAGAUAUAGGAAGGAACACCCAGUGGCGAAAGGCGGCUACCUGGACCAACACUGACACUGAGGUGCGAAAGCGUGGGGGAGCAAACAGGAUUAGAUACCCUGGUAGUCCACGCCGUAAACGAUGUCAACUAGCCGUUGGGACUCUUGAAGUCUUAGUGGCGCAGCUAACGCACUAAGUUGACCGCCUGGGGAGUACGGCCGCAAGGUUAAAACUCAAAUGAAUUGACGGGGGCCCGCACAAGCGGUGGAGCAUGUGGUUUAAUUCGACGCAACGCGAAGAACCUUACCUGGCCUUGACAUCCAGAGAACUUUCCAGAGAUGGAUUGGUGCCUUCGGGAACUCUGAGACAGGUGCUGCAUGGCCGUCGUCAGCUCGUGUCGUGAGAUGUUGGGUUAAGUCCCGUAACGAGCGCAACCCCUAUCCCUGGUUGCUAGCAGGUAAUGCUGAGAACUCCAGGGAGACUGCCGGUGACAAACCGGAGGAAGGUGGGGAUGACGUCAGGUCAUCAUGGCCCUUACGGCCAGGGCUACACACGUGCUACAAUGGCGCGUACAGAGGGCUGCCAACUCGCGAGAGUGAGCCAAUCCCUUAAAACGCGUCGUAGUCCGGAUCGGAGUCUGCAACUCGACUCCGUGAAGUCGGAAUCGCUAGUAAUCGCGAAUCAGAAUGUCGCGGUGAAUACGUUCCCGGGCCUUGUACACACCGCCCGUCACACCAUGGGAGUGGAUUGCACCAGAAGUAGUUAGUCUAACCUUCGGAGGACG